rnacentral:rRNA from 1 species
UACGUAGGGUGCGAGCGUUAAUCGGAAUUACUGGGCGUAAAGUGUGCGCAGGCGGCCGAGCAAGUCGAGUGUGAAAGCCCCGGGCUUAACUUGGGAAUUGCGCUCGAAACUACUUGGCUGGAGUGUGGCAGAGGAAGGUGGAAUUCCAGGUGUAGCGGUGAAAUGCGUAGAGAUCUGGAGGAACACCGAUGGCGAAGGCAGCCUUCUGGGCCAUUUCUGACGCUGAGGCGCGAAAGCGUGGGGAGCAAACAGG